GUAAAAAAGUGCAGAUAGACGUGGAAGCAUGAAAAAUUGCCACGUACACCUUAAAGAACUGUCAAAUUAUGUAUUUGUAAGAAUUUUUAUUUUGCUGUUUGGAAAGAGAGAAAAGGGGAUAUUGAUGCAACUUUGAAAAUUUCCUCGUCAAACCUUGGGAAGGACAACCUUGAGAAGGAACUAUAUCUUGGGAAGGACAACCUUGGGAAGGAACUAUAUCUUGACCAAGAUCCUCCAUUUAGACUAAGAUCCUCCAUUUGAAAGUAAAAAAGUGCAGAUAGACGUGGAAGCUUGAAAAAUUGCCACGUACACCUUAAAGAACUGUCAAAUUAUGUAUUUGUAAGAAUUUUUAUUUUGCUGUUUGGAAAGAGAGAAAAGGGGAUAUUGAUGCAACUUUGAAAAUUUCCUCGUCAAACCUUGGGAAGGACAACCUUGAGAAGGAACUAUAUCUUGGGAAGGACAACCUUGGGAAGGAACUAUAUCUUGACCAAGAUCCUCCAU
rnacentral:lncRNA from 1 species